UUAAUCUCAGCGCGGUCGCCAUUUUGUCUUCGGUCGGAUACCGAGGCGGGAAAGAGUCGUUUCGCUGCCAGGUACCACGUCAACCGCCACCAUUUUCGCCAUGUCGAGAGACCGUUUUCGCAGCCGUGGAGGCGGCUUCCAUCGGCGCGGCGGUGGCGGAGGCCGAGGCGGCCUCCCGGGGACCCACGACUUCCGCUCUCCGCCACCGGGCAUGGCGGGCGGGAUGGGGCAGUCCCGUGGCAGCAGCCACCACCACAUCAGCGGCGGCGGCAGCCUCGGGGGCCCUCCGAAGUCGGAACCCGCCAAGCCGCCCAGCUCGGCCUCCACCCCUCCGUCGUCCGCGGCCUCCGUCUCCGUCUCCUCGAGUCCGGCGGGUUCGUCGCCUGCAGUGGGGGGAUCCGCGCAGAACCAGGUUGGGCCGCCGCCUGCGGCCUCCUCGGCCUCCUCCGUCACGACGGCGAGCUCGACCCCGACCCCCACCACCGCCUCGGGGCUCCAGAGUGGAGGCCGAGGAGGGGAUCAGCCAACGCAGCAAGCCGGUGCACCUCCCGGACAAAGCUCCGUCCAAGGCGGCUCCAAAAAAGGGCCCGGCCAGUCUCCCGGAGCGGGAGGCGGAGGCCCGGUCGGCGGUCCGAAGGGUGGCCCAGGAGGCUCCCAGCAGGGCGGCGGCGCCAAGGGCGGAGGAGGGCUCGGCCAGCACCGCGGAGGCGGCGAGAGGCGUGGGGGCCAGAGCCAGCACCACUCCUCGCAGCAGCAGCAGCACUCGUCGCAGCAGCCGCCGCCGCAAGGCCCCGGCGGGGAGAAAAUGUCCGAUGCGGAGGGCUUCAAAGCCAAUCUCUCUCUUUUGAGAAGGCCUGGAGAGAAGACUUACACUCAACGAUGUCGUCUUUUUGUUGGGAAUUUGCCUGCUGAUAUCACAGAAGAGGAGUUUAAAAGGCUAUUUUCUAAAUAUGGUGAACCUGGUGAAGUCUUUAUCAAUAAAGGAAAAGGCUUUGGCUUUAUCAAACUGGAAUCCCGAGCUCUAGCUGAAAUAGCAAAGGCAGAACUCGAUGAUAUUCCCAUGAGAGGAAGACAGCUUCGUGUGCGUUUUGCCACCCAUGCAGCUGCCCUUUCUGUCCGUAAUCUUUCCCCAUAUGUAUCGAAUGAACUACUGGAGGAAGCCUUCUCUCAGUUUGGCCCUAUUGAAAGAGCUAUUGUGAUAGUAGAUGAUCGUGGCAGAUCUACAGGAAAAGGCAUUGUUGAAUUUGCAUCGAAGCCUGCAGCACGAAAAGCAUUUGAACGAUGCACUGAAGGUGUCUUUCUGUUGACAACAACUCCCAGGCCAGUUAUUGUGGAGCCACUUGAGCAACUGGAUGAUGAAGAUGGUCUUCCGGAAAAACUUGCCCAGAAAAACCCAAUGUAUCAAAAGGAGAGAGAGACUCCUCCACGGUUUGCACAGCCUGGAAGUUUUGAAUAUGAAUAUUCCCAGCGCUGGAAAUCUUUGGAUGAAAUGGAGAAACAACAGAGAGAUCAAGUAGAAAAAAAUAUGAAAGAUGCCAAGGAUAAACUGGAAAGCGAAAUGGAAGAUGCCUAUCAUGAGCAUCAGGCAAACCUCUUGCGUCAAGAUCUCAUGAGGCGACAGGAAGAAUUGAGGCGUAUGGAAGAACUUCACAAUCAAGAGAUGCAAAAACGCAAGGAAAUGCAGUUGAGGCAGGAAGAAGAGCGCCGUAGGCGAGAGGAGGAGAUGAUGAUCCGCCAGCGUGAGAUGGAAGAGCAAAUGAGAAGACAGAGGGAAGAAAGUUACAGUAGAAUGGGUUAUAUGGACCCUGUAAGUCAGGAUUGGAAGAAUUUCAGUAAUCUUGUUACACAGAGGGAGAGAGACAUGAGGAUGGGAGGCACCACCACAAUGAAUAUGGGAGAUCCCUAUGGUACAGCUGCUCAGAAAUUCCCACCUUUAGGGGGUGGUACUGGCCUUGGCUAUGAAACCAGUCCUGGAGUUGGACAAACAUCUAUGAGUGGCUCUAUGAUGGGAAGCGAUAUGCGCCCUGAGCGAUUUGGGCAGGGAGGUGCGGGGCCUGUAGGUGGCCAGGGCCCUAGAGGAAUGGGGCCUGGAACUCCAGCAGCUUAUGGGAGAGGGAGAGAAGAAUAUGAAGGCCCAAACAAAAAACCCCGAUUUUAGAUGUGACUCCUAGAUUUUCAUUCCAGUUCUGUUUGUCUUGUUUAGACACUACUUUUUUUUAAUUCUUGCAUUUUAGUAAGAAAGCUACAUUUUUAUGGAUGUUAGAAACUUAAUGACCUAGCAUUUGUAAGUGGUCUGGGCAAGAAAAAUACAAUUAUGUAAUGCAGUGUUCAAAACCUAGCUUUUUGAUGUAUAACGUCCCUACCUUGAUGGCAGUGUACCGUGUGCCAUUUGAAUUCCCAAGUGUAAACUUUUUUUACUGUGCUUAAAAUAAAUAGACUAAAUGUAGCAAUGAUUCUUAUAUUGUAAACUUUGCCAAUUGCAGUUUCAAGUAUACAGGGUGAAUAUGCUGCACUUUCCAGUGUGCAGUACAUUGCUUGGCUCUAAUCUGGUGUAUUGCGCAGUAUGCCUUAGAUGCUGCCAUGGCAUAAAAUGUCUUAAUUGACCUACUUACCUACAAGUAUGCAAUGUUGACCUAACAAGACUUAAACAUGAAAUGUUACAGGUGAAGUUUCACUCUGCAAAGUCUCUAGCUUGAGUUCUACAGAAGUUGCAGCAUUAUUAGUGCUUGUUUGAGUUUAGGAACCUCAGUUGCCCUUCAGUAAGAGAGCAAAGGGAAACUUUAUAAAAUAAUCCAGGGUUAACUUUCAAAUGAUGCAGUCAGAUAAGUUAGAUUUUACUGAGUAAUGUGGGAUUUGCUGCUGUGGGUGUGAUCUGGUAGCAUUUGCUGCUGGGUAUCUUAACAGCAUUUCCAUUCCAUGUUCCAUAAGUCAUGACAUGGCUUGUAUAUACUGAUAUCCCCUUAAAGGAUGGUUCAGUGUGACAUUCCUUCAAUAUGACUCAGUGUAUAGGAUUUGGGUGACUGAAUUUACAGUUAACAUUUAAUCAUGCUUGUCACAAGCAGUGAAUAUGGGAGGGCACUUGUAUUUUUAUAACUUGUAUCAUAAUUUGGGAACUGGAGUGCAAAAACGAAAGUAUCCUUUGAAACUUCAGGGUUAAAAUAUUUCAUAGAGUCUUGCAUUGUAGUAACUUGCCAGAUAACAUUUGACACUUGGAAGUCUAAAUACAAGGGUUGCAUAGUACAAAGUUGUGUUGAACCUUGCAGAAGAGUUGCAUUUCUCAGCCUUAACUUAUUAAAAACACGUGUAUGAAUUCAAGGUGUCCUGGAAUCCAUGAUAACACCUAAAAUGCUGGGUGCAGAGUUACCCAGUUAAAGCACUAGGGGUUGAUGAAAUUAAGAUCAACCUGAUUGGAGACCAAUUCUUGAGUGCUACAUAGCAUUUAAUUAUUUAAAUCAGGGGUGGGGAACUGAUUUUCUGAUGACACAUUUAUUUAGAGGUAAUUUGGAGCUACAAGCCAGCAGUGUGUGAGUCUGGAGCCAAAAAGUGGGCAGAGAUACUCUCUUUCUCAGCUGUUUCGUUCCCAGGAGGUGGCUGUGGAAGAACAGAAUAGCUUUUGACAGAAAUCUAAACUGGUCUCCCCAGCUUUUAUUACUCCAUUUUGACUGUCUCCCAACCUUCCUAUUCUCUUGGUGUUGCUCAGUCCCAUAAAAAUUAAGCCCUUAGGUCCAGAUUCCCCAUCCCUGCUUUAAACACCUUACUUGGUUUUGAGAAGAAUGGACUGCCUUAAAGUUUUUGUAACAUCAGUGGGUAAAGUCUUGGUGCCAUAAGUUACUAAGCACUUUGACUAUGCAAACUUGUUAGUACAAAGGUUAUGUGCUAAGCAACCAAUUUAAAUGCAAAAAUGCCGGUAAACUGUUGAUCGUCAAGGUUGCUGGAUGAUUGCUUCUAAUAGAGUGUUGUGGUUGGAUGGUUCUGCAUUCCCAGAUGCAUUCAAGAAUAUGAAAGAUGAAGCCAGCUGCUAUUUAAACUGUAUGGGGAAAAAUUAACCUGCAGUUACUGAUGCAGAGAUACCCUUGUAAUACAAUUCAGAUUAAAUGUCAUUGUGUGUUAGGGCCUCAGCCAUUUGCAGGUCAGCUUUUAAAAGGGUGUUCCCAGGACACCCACUGUAGGAAAUUUUGAGAUCAACAGAGUUGGGGGCCUUUGGACAUGGACACUAAUUUUCAGUUUAUUUUUCAGAUUACAUGCCAUUUUUCCUUAGGAUGCUGGCACAUACCUAAACCAUGCUCUUUUGUAGUACUGUAAUCUUGAAGAGUGAAGGAGGCUGAUGGUCCCAUUAUCUUCCUAAGGUUCAUCUCUUGUUUCAUUCUGUCUAAAAGUAGGCUGAUAAUAAAUCUGGAAGGAAGUAGUGGGAGCUGCAGGAAAUUCUUAUACUUAAUCUGACAAGUGCUGUUGUCAACUGCACAUUCAGUACCUGUACAGUAGUUUUACUUCAAAGCACGUUAAGUAGGGUGGUCCCUAAGUACUAGCAAAUUAAUUUAUACUGGAUUUUCACUGAAUUGGAUGUUUCUUGAGUAGCUUUUCCAAAAGCAUCUUCAACCUUUGUUUGGGCUUACUUAACCAGUGCAUUUGGAGCAGAAGAGUGACUGUUAAACUUACGCAUGCCCGCCAUGCUUUUAUAAAAGGACAUCAGUGCACAUUCCAGGGUCUUCCAAGGGUUGGACACCCCAAGCAUGCUAUACCCACAUCUUUGCCAGUUAUUAAUAACUGAAUUUCUGUUUCUGUGCGUAUUCUGUGGUACCUCCGUUUUUGAAAAAGUUCUUGGCGUCUCCUUGGCAACCACUUGUGGCAGCAUGCUUUUUUCUGGAGUUGAGACUGCAAUUUGACACUGUUUAAAAGUAGUGGCCUGCUACGUAACAGCACUUAGACAGCAUUUCUGCAGUGCAUAACUGUGAGGAACGUAGUACCACAAGUGGCAAUGGACAUUAGGACCUGGAUGUAGUAUUCCUGCUUGCUCCGAGAUUCUCAUUGUCGCCUGCAUACAGGUGAAGGUAAUACCAGCUGGAUGAAAUCAGAGUGCUGUUCCAUGUGAGAGUACUAACCAGCGGAUGACCGCAUGACAAAAUGGAGAGUGGAAAGCACUACACAGUGUGUGGGAGAAAAGAGCUGGUCCUGAACCCAGGAGAGGUGACCAGGGACAGCAAGAACCAUUUUGUCAAGCCUGCAAUAAAUAAAUCAAAUAUUUAAA